rnacentral:misc_RNA from 1 species
AACGCACAUUGCGCCUCUCGGUAUUCCGGGAGGCACGCCUGUUCGAGCGCCAUUACACACUCCAAGCUGCGGCUUGAUGUUGGGCGACGUGCUUGGGGGAACCCGAGGACGCGCCUGGAACGCGUGGGCGGCGGACGCCAGACCGCGAGCGUAGCAAGAUUUUUUUUUUCAGAAAGUCACCCGCUCGGAUGGAUGUGGUGGACGACCAGUCUCUUCGGUAGGCUCUGAUGUUGGAGCGUGUUGUGAAGUCAGCGCGCGACACGUCUGGGGCACGACGUUGUCGAGUUUGGCCUCGGAUCAGGCGGGGAUACCCGCUGAACUUAA